GCGCGCGCUCCUGCUCGUGGCGGCCAGUCGGGGCUGUGGCGUCUCGCUCACGAGCGGCUGCGGCGGGCGAGCGUGGGGCCGGGACCCUGCCCGCCUGCGCGUCCUCCUCCGGGUGCGCGGCUGCCGCGUUUCGGGGACGGGGUCUCACUGCCGCCCGGGCUGGAGCGCGCCGGCCGGAUCUCGGCUCCCUGCAGCCUCGACCUCCCGAGCUCACGCGAUCCGGCCGCCUCAGCCUCUCCGGUAGCUGGGGCCGCAGGCGCCGCGCGCGGGCUCCUGGCGUUUGCGGUCUGCGGGGGCGGCGUCUCGGUGCGGCCCGGGCUCCCGGCUCCGCGGCCCACGCGCUCCUCCCCGCGGCCGGCGCCGCCCCGGCCUCCCCAGCUCCCGGAGCUGUCUGGGGCGCGCGGGGCGCGCGGGGCCCGCCCCGCCCUGGGUCAGAGCCGGGGCCGGCGGGGGUCGCGGCCGCCCCUGUCCCCGCCCUGGUCCUCGCCGUAGACUCGGGGAGAACCGGGUCGCUGGCCGGGACCCCGAGACGGUCCCCACCGGCUCCCACUUACCGGCGUCUGGCUGUUGGUGGUUUUGUUUGGUUGAUUUUUUUUUUUAGGUUGAUAGUAAAAGCAUUUUAAAGUUUUGUGUUUUUUUUUUUUAAACAGCAUAUGCAGUAGACUCGCUGCUUGAUUUAUCUAUAUUUACCGACUUGCACAGUUAUACCAAGAAAUGUUUACGCAGAUGAUGAUAAGCAUAUGUAGAAAUGCAGCGUUUUCACAGACGGGGAAUAACCAGCUCCAGGCUGCAGUUCUCUGCACGAAGAUGAAGUCUGAUGGGGAAACUCCGCAGCGACCUGAGCCUGGAGGAGCAGCUGGGGACGGUGGGCAGAGCCAGGUGUGGGGUCCUGCACCUGGGCUGGGGGAGCGGCAGGCUCCGGGGUCGAGUUGAGGCUGUGCUAGUCCUGGCCUCCAGGCCUCGGGUGGCCCACUCUGCCCUCUGCCUGUUUCCUCCCUUGUAAAGUGGGGAGUAAGGGACCAUCACAAGCCAGGGGUUGGUGGCACAUGCUGUGGUCUCAGCCGCUCAGGAAGCUGGGCCCGGAGGGUCACUUGUGUCCCAGAGCUGAAGCUGUGUGUGGUGUGUGAGCCCGGUGCCUGUGAAUAGCCACUGCGCUCCAGCCUGGGCAACGCUGAGACCCUGGCUCAGAAAACCCACAAAACUUAAAAGAUGAACACAGAUAAACGAUGGGAGCCUGGUAUGUGGUCAGCACUCUGCAGAUGGCAGCCUGGAACCCAGGACAGGUCUCAAAAGGCUGCCAGCUUCAGUCACUGCCUGGUGGAAAACAAGCCUGUCUUUGGGGCCAGCCAGCUAAGUGAGCCUUUCACCCCAUCUGAAGGCAAAGUACCCAAAUGGGCAACCGUGGACGGCUAAGUAAAAAUGAAGACUCCUGGGACGCCUUCUCAGGACACAUUCUUAAUAAACAGAUACGUGCAUGAGGACAUCGCAUGCAUUUCUAUGCAACAGGCCACCCCAAACCUCAGUGAGCAAAAACCUCUCUUCACUGCUCAUGACCCUGUGGGCCUGCAGCGUGAGCUGGUUCAGCUGAGACUGCUUCCCUCAGCCCCACGAGGUGACCACUGGGCCUACUUAUCAGCAGGGGCCCCCAGCAGAUAGGGGCCACGUGUCUCCAGUCCCCGCAGGCAGGCUGGCGGGGCCUCCCUCCCAGUGGAUCUCCAUCGGCAGCGAGAGAAAGCAAAUCCUUGUGGUGCUUCCAUCCCUCUCCCCAGGAGAAGCAGAGCAGCAGAAAGCGGAUGGUGGCCAAGGCCGGGACCCUCUGCUGUUCCCACAGGCCUCUCCAGAGGCUCUGCAGGACCAGCCGGCAGCCUCUAAUGGUCCCAUCCUGUUCUACGCCCUCAGAUGCCAUCCUCUCCACAGAGAUGGUUCCUGCCUUGGCGCUCUCCCUAACUUGGAAGAAUGGCACUCUUGAUGCUGAUGUCAGGGAGGAAAGCAGUUUCCAGUCGCCCAGGCCCAGGACAGGGCAUGCCCAGCUGUCGUGAAGCAUGGAGCUCCAGGAUGCCCACUUGGGUGCCUGUGAGAUUAGGUGCUUUGAGAAUGAAUCUGCAGUCUCCUGAGGAGGUCCAAAGAAAUUUCAAGGAUAUCUCAGCCAUCCGUUCCUUGUGCACUGUGGAAGUCGAACACUCGGGCUCCUGGAGGGGCCCUGGGUCUCCACAGAAGCGCUGGCAGCCACCAUCUACUUCCUGGACUUCCGUGCCUGCCCCACCUCUGUUCUGUUGUUUACUGUCUCCUUUGUGGGAAUUACGGAAUAAACAAUCACUUUGGUGUCCCGGAAAA